UGGAUAAGACAUGCAAGUCGAACGCUGAUUCUCUGAUAGCAAUAUUGGAGGGUUGGAGUGGCGCAAGGGUGCGUAACACGUGGGUAAUUUGCCGUGAAGUUCGGAAUAACUUGCUGAAAGGCAAGCUAAUGCCGGAUGUGAUUGUUGAUGAGCAUUUAUGGACAAUUAAAGUUGGGGCCGCAAGGCCUGACGUUUCACGAUAAGCCCGCGGCCUAUCAGCUUGUUGGUGAGGUAACGGCUCACCAAGGCUAAGACGGGUAGCUGGUCUGAGAGGACGACCAGUCACACUGGAACUGAGACACGGUCCAGACACCUACGGGUGGCAGCAGUCGAGAAUUUUUCACAAUGGGCGAAAGCCUGAUGGAGCGACGCCGCGUGGGGGAUGAAUGGCUUCGGCCCAUAAACCCC
rnacentral:rRNA from 1 species